GUGAACCUCAAUGGUGGAUGGCAGAUGUGAUUUUUUGGACGGUAGCUGGGAAUUUGAAUGUGUUGAAGUCUAGUUUAAAAAGGUCGGCCCUCACUCCGAUUGUGUGGAAGUAGUUGUGACGUCACGGGAUGCAGCUGUCACUCAAAACGGAUUCAAGUUUCGGGAGCCUGACAUGGAGAGUCGUCAUCAACGCCUAUUUCGUAAUGGCUGACUGUGCGGAUUAGACGGGACGAACUGGGGAGUUAACCACCGCGUUUCAGAUCAUUUCAAUUGUUGACAUCAAUGACGUUUAUAUAAUAUUAAUAAAAUCGAUAUUGCUACUCAAAGAUGUCUUAAAUGUUUUAAUAAAAUGGCUUAGAAAUUUA